rnacentral:rRNA from 1 species
GACGAACGCUGGCGGCGUGCUUAACACAUGCAAGUCGAACGGUAAGGCCCUUCGGGGUACACGAGUGGCGAACGGGUGAGUAACACGUGGGUGAUCUGCCCUGCACUUCGGGAUAAGCCUGGGAAACUGGGUCUAAUACCGGAUAGGACUCCUGGCUUCAUGGUUGGGGGUGGAAAGCUUUUGCGGUGUGGGAUGGGCCCGCGGCCUAUCAGCUUGUUGGGGGGGUAAUGGCCUACCAAGGCGACGACGGGUAGCCGGCCUGAGAGGGUGACCGGUCACACUGGGACUGAGAUACGGCCCAGACUCCUACGGGAGGCAGCAGUGGGGAAUAUUGCACAAUGGGCGCAAGCCUGAUGCAGCGACGCCGCGUGAGGGAUGACGGCCUUCGGGUUGUAAACCUCUUUCAGCUAUGACGAAGCGCAAGUGACGGUAGGUGCAGAAGAAGGACCGGCCAACUACGUGCCAGCAGCCGCUGUAA